UUGUACUUCAGCCCUGACAGCAAAGUAGUACAGUGCAUUGCAAGUUUAUGACUAUUGAGACCAGAAUCAUGGAGAUGGAGGUGUCCUGCUGCCCGUGAAAUGGAAGGCUGCAAGAGCAAUGCCUCCCAGAUCCAGGACAUGCCUGACUCCAACCCAAAUCCAUCCUUCUCCUGGUGAAGCCCUUGGACAGAGGAACUGACCUUGCUGCUCCUCUGCCCACCCAGCUACCCAACUGGGCAAAACCAGGUCUUCUCUGAAAGUCACACACCACUGCUGAGCUGAAGCGUCUCAAUAAGCUAAAUCACUAUAGAGCACCAGAUUUAUUUAUUUACUGGUUUGCCAGGGAAAAACAAAUUCCUUAGAGGACAGAUCUUCAGAAGAAUUCAGUGCUGACCUCAUUGUGUCACUAUUGAUGUCAGUGAAACCCGCCGAAACAAAAUAAAGCCAAUGAUGGACGAGUUUGAAAAUUGUACAUGCUGUAAACCACGAGGAAGUUCACAGCAACUUCAUUAGCUGCAUUGCUGCUAAUGAACAAAGCCCGGCUCGGGACAAGGGCUUGCUGGCAGCCAGUGAGGGAGCAUGUCGGGCCACACGGCCCCCCGGGGUGGUGUCCACAGCUGGGUGGGCGCCGGAGACGUGCACUCUUGCGCGGGGAGCCACCAUCCAUCGUGUUUGUGCCGAGGUUCCGGGUGUUGCCAGGGGUUACAGCGCACACAGCAAGGGACAGGGGCCGCACAACACGGGGAAAAGUUUCAGGCCAAAAAAGGAAAACAUCAGCUACAGAAAUGUAACAGCAGAGGCAAAACACCAGAGAUAAUCAAAUGUUAAUAUAACCACAUUCUUCUUCAGUGUAAUGAAAAAAACAUCAGAAAGCACGAAGAACAUGUUUCAAGUAACAGAGGGGGUUUUCUAACAAUAAAUUCAGACAACUCAUAUUCAACUGCACAAAGACUAGAAGAGGAGACCCACAAAAUCAGCUUGGCGCACCCUCGUGAGAGCUGUGCUGCUGGGCCAGGGCCGGACAGAACCUCCUCGCUGUGCCCCCAGCUGCUCCCGGUGCCCACAGCCACCACCAACUCCAUCCCAGCAGAGAACGAGGGUCGAGCUGAAAUAUUGCUGCUGGCACCGACCAACCACGAGGUUCAAUCAGUCCACAACUGGGAGGCAUUAAACCUUUAUGACUCUGCAUGCACCAAUGGCAUCUCCUGAGCAGCUGUGCAGGGGAAAGGGAAAGGAGCCCCACACGACACCUAUUCUGAGUGAAGGCAGCCAGCAAAACAGCCAACACUUCAAUGUUGCCUGCUCCAUCUUCAGACCACACACAUUUGCUGUUAGUCACCUAAAUGCAGACUAUUCUUCAGGUGCUUUCAUUUCUCAAGCUUGCACACUGUGAGGAAACAAUACUCAGCUAGUCCAAGGUUAAAAAAAAAAAAAAGAAAAGCUUUAAAUUUUAACAAGAGCACAAAGCUGUUAGCUUGAGAGUCCUGUUUUCCAUAAAACUCACAUUCAUAACAAGCAAUAAAGAUGGAAUUUUGCUGCAAUAUAACUCAUGAGUCUGCCUAAAACUUAGAUCUGAAGAGAUCUCCAUUAAAGGUAAAAUGUAGUAUAGGCUUCAUGCCAGACCAGUCUUUUGUUUCUUUUCAAUAAGAGAAAGAGUGCCAACUAUGAUAAAGUUUUACAAGGAAGUCACCUAUUUUCUAAAAACAUGACUGCAACUAGCCAUUCAUUUCAUGCAGGCUCUGAACAGCCAGUACAAUUAAUUGACAUCGCUUUCCUUCUUAUCUCUGAGUAAGCCAAGAAUACUUUUUUUAAAUUCUAUUUCUAUCAACAUUGAUAUUUACUGCAUUCCAUAUAAAAUCAGACAUUCCUCUGUUUAAAAGGAUAGAAUCAAAAGAAAGCCAGAGACCUGACUUGCUUGGUAUGGUGCUUUUCACAAUUUUAUCCAUUUCUUUGAUAAGAUUUACAUUUAAGGCACAAGAUUGUAGCAGAACAUCAUAUGACAGACGCAAAAAAAAAAAAAAACAAAACACGCGCUGCUUUCAGUCCAUUCAGCAUAAGCAUGAUGGAUUCAUAGCACAUUUAAAUCAACAGCAGACUUGGUAUAGACAGUAUUGAACUUUAGCUGCAUCCAGCAGUAUGGGGAAAGGACAACAUACAGUGGGGUGAAACAAUGGUUCUGUCAAUUAACCUGGCUACAGUGCACUGCUAGCAUAUCUGAGGGGGCUACAGACAAUCACUAUAGCAUAUUCCAAGGAAAUUCUGGCAGAGUAAGCCCUACAUGUAAUCAAAUUAGUCACUGUAAAAAUAUUCCUAAUAACUUAAAUGCCGAUAGAACCAGCCAGCUUCUCAAAAAAUUGCUCUAUCCAGGAAUAUAACUCAGAAUGUUAAGUAUUAAAAAUAUGAAUUAUUAGAUUGGUCUCAUGUCCUUCUCCUAACAAUGCAACAUUAUUUCUUAGUGCUUUUGUGUGCUUGUUAUUUUUUUUAAAAUACCGAAUUGCAAUGGCAAAGUAGGUUGGGUAAAGAGAACAAGAAAGAGGUUAUUUUACCUCACUAUAGGUCUUGUUCAUGCCACAUGCUUGGUUUGCCUCACUGCCAUCACUUCGCUUUCCCAUCUUUAAUAAGAGAAAUAGUAAUAUCUGUCUAUUCCUCAAGACAUUUAUGCUGAUUACUUAUCACUUACCAAAAUCUUUCAAACCAAAAGAAGUGUCAGAGAGGCAAAAUGAGACAUAAAUUCGUCUUUCACUAUGUUUCUUACUUCCUUUUUGUGUUGAGAGCCAAGACUCGUUUCUGAUAGCUAUCAUGUUCUGCUCCUUUUCUCAUCAAUUAUUUGAAGAAGUUACUGUCAUCCAAGGCUACGUUUUUAAUGAUUUUUUUAGUUGUGUAAUUUAAGGAGUGCAAAAUCACUCAAUUACAUCUUAUUCUGGAGAUCACUAACUGUAAUUAUACAUGGAAAUGAUGAAAUGAAGAAAAACUAGAUAUACUCUAAUCCACUUCCAGGGUCUAGCAUAAGAAAUCCAGGUCAGUUAUGCUAAUUUCAAACAGUGUAAAUUCACCAGUGCUUCAGCACAAUAAGACUGGUAACAAAUUAUGGGGCAAAAUUUUGUUCACAACAAAGAUUUCAUUUUCCCUACAGAAAUGGUGGAGCAAUAUAAAAAUAAAAAUUAUUCUCCUCUUACUAUUUGGUUAACCAAGAAUUGCAAGCCAAAUAUAAACGCACCUAAGAAUCAAUUCCCUGCCCAAAAGACAGCCUUCCCCAAAACAUCCAAUCCUCCCAAACCAACUGAAAAAACAUAUUGCAAAACUCCAUGUUAACCAAAGAGUUCAAGGAGAUUGACCCUGGCGCUUUCAAAUACUUUAAUAAGUAUUCUUUGAAGGAAAGAAAUGCUAGUGAGAACCAACCCUUUCACACAUGAAGAGAAUAAACAAAAGAUUCAGUAAUGGCUCUGACAUCAAGUUCCUUUUCAAGUAUUUUGUCGGUAGGGAAAACCAAGAAGAAAUGCCUGGAGCACUGAGGGAGGGUGGGAUGAAGAUCCUUUAAAGGAAACUAGGAAACUGCAACAACUGAUAAAGGACAUAUAGGGAAACACAUUAAGGAAAUGUGAAGAAAUAAAAAAAUCUGGACAACCUGCAUCAUACAGAACUUAAAAGAAUUACCUAAACUCCUUUAUGCUCACUGUGCAUAAGCCAGAUAACUGAAAAAGGAAAAUAUUAACAUUACCAACUUAAACAGCAAGGGUACUGCAGACAGACUCUCUCUCAUAAAUCCACUUUAUGUUCCCACUGGUCACUCUUGUCUUCAGUGAGCCUUGGGUACAUGGCCCUUAGCAAGGAUAGGGGACUAUCACAAGACCAGAUAAGCUUUAAUAGUGGCGUGAUGUUAUGUCUCACAGGAUCUUAGCUGAAAAAGUAAUUCACAUUGGUUUGGCCAUUUCCAUGUGCUUUUCAAGUUGCUGAGGUAAUGAAAUUACAGGAAAUAAGCUGCAGUGUAGCGAGAUGGUAGGAAGUGUCUCCUGGCUACCAUGUGGAUGACUGCUAGGAACAGUCUGUCAGACUUCUUUAUUGAUAAACUGGAAAUGAAAGUGCACAGCACUUUGCUGAAACUUGCAUACACUCUGUAAGAAAGACAGUGUACAAGGAAAAUAAUAGAGAAUGUCCUAAAGAAGACAGAACCGUGGAAAGAAAAUAACUAAAGGAGACUCAACUUGGAACAAAUGCAGGCUGGGAAAGCACCUGAGGAGGAAUAACAGGAAGGAGAAAUCUCAGAUGCAAUAAUGAUGAAAGAAAUGUAGGGAGAUAGCUCACACUAAAUUACAUGAAUUGGUAAUGUGCUACGGCAUGCAAAGGCCAGUAUGGUAUUGAACAGAGUAAAUAGUGUCACAUCCCUGAGGAAGGAACAAAUAGCCACUUUCUGCAUGGUGCUGGUACCGUCCGAUCUGGAAUAUUAUAUGCAUUUCUGGAUAUUGACAAAUUUGAGAGUUCAGAGAAGAGAAGCAAACAUGAUCCAAAGACUAAGAGGAUUGAUUUAUGAGGAGAGAUUAGAAGAGUUAAAUAUAUAAAUUGCUUGACAAAGAAAUGAUUAAUGGGGGACAUGAUAACAGCCUACAAAUAUUUGAAGAAGACCACCGGUGAAGGAAAGGUGUUUUUCAGAAGGAUUCACAGAGAACAGCAGAGUCCAGAGAGUGACUGAGAAGCAAAAACAUGUUCUGAGUAUCAAGAAAUGCUUCCUGACCAUGAAUUAUGAUAACCUGUGGAAUAAUUUCCUCAGUGGAAGAGGCAGGGAUCUUUUACUUGUGGCUUUUAAACACAGACUUGAAGAAUCUCUUAAGAAACCAAGGUGCCCACAACUGCAAACGUUUGGACUCAGUGACCUCUCUGAUCCCUUCCAGUUUAGCAGAGCUAGGUGCAGCCAACAAUUCCCCCUUCUCCAAGAUGAUUUGGGCAUAGGAGAAAUUACUGUAUUUGUAAAGAUGUUACAUUCUUAUUUGUGUUUUUCCCAGUGCUGCUUGCUACCCUGGCAUUCAUCAAACUGAAACAAACAAUAGCUGCUGUUAGAGAACUACUUCUGUUACUUGAGGGUCAUGGUGAAAGUCUCAGCACCUGUCUUACCACUGCAUGCAAAUAACAAAUCAGCAGUCUGAUACCCACAGAGCCUUUCAGCAACUCAGUUGGAUUCUUGAUGAGCUGCAUUCAAGGUGAAGGUGGAUAAUUAUGAACCACAUGCACAGACAGUGACGACUGCACACCCCACCAAGUGACCAAGACACAGGCUACAGUUUUUCACACUAAUGUUAUAAGAAGAAAGUGUUAUAAAAAUCAGUCAUGGAUUCACCAUGUGUAGUGAUGGCCUCCAUCACCCCCCUCCAUGAACCCCUAUCCUGCAUCCUGGUGCUGCAGUUCUGGAACCCCAUCAUUAGAGCCUUGACAUGGCCCUCUUUAGCUCCUCAACUCAGGGUGCUGGUUGGAGGGAGCUGGGUCCUGCAAAAAGCAAACACAUCCCAGAGACCUGCCUAUGUAAGGCUGUGAGGGCAAACUUGUUCUCUUUGACUGUGCAUCCUUCUGAGGGAAAUGACAAAAGUUUGUUGCAAAUAUUUGUGACAAUUUACUAUAGAGCCAUUUUGGUCUGUAGAUCACCGGUAAGACUUCGGGAUUACUAACUGGAACAAAAAUCUCAGUGAAAUAGUUUAAGAAUCAUUUAAUUUUUUUAACUACUGUUAUGAAGAAAAACAGAACACCUCAUCCAAAGGCAAUUUUACAGGAGUGAUUGUUCUGACACAAGCAGCAGGCAGCAAGGGAGGUGCCAGCCCAGGGAAAAUGUGCAUGGGGCCAUUGGCAGGACACCUAUGGGAAGGUAAAAACUAAAAAUCCACGUGAACUCUUCAGAAUAUCAGUAGACAGUAUUGCAGCUGAUGGCAAUAAAGUUCCCACCCUAAUACUUCAGUAGGAAACGGUGCAAAUUAAUAGAGAGCUUAUUGAAAAGCACCUGAAGUCAGACCCUGAUCCAUAUUUAGAACAACUAAGUUCUGGAGAGUGCAUGGAGCUGUCACCUGAGGACGCUUUUUCCAAUAGAAAACCGAAACCAAGACUAACUGCAUUGUUAGACACUGGGGAUUUGUAGGAAUGGAGAGUGGGAUAGCAAAGCAAACUCCUCAGUUAAACUCAGUGCUCUCAAAUCCAUCUCAUCCCAGCAUAGGGAUGAGAGUUGGUACUGAACUUCAUGGGGAUUCUGAGCUUCCUGGAAACUGCAGAUGUGCAUUUUUUACAGUAAUUGCUGUAUAAGUGAUUCUUUCAAUUUCUUCCAUACAUCCUCUUCGUACCCUCUGCAGACCCAUCAGCAUUCACUGGUUAUUGUCCCUGACCUGAUCCAUUCGGUCAACUUGUAUUAAAUCACUGGUCUUUGGUAUGCAUGAAAGACAAUUAUUUUAUUUUGUAUUACACGAACAGGGUCAGGCCCACAUUUAAUGCAAAGCUGAAAUGUGCACUGCUUCAGGGUCCUUUCAGGUACUGCAUUAUGCAAAACUAUCUAUUUGGAAUAUGAAAUCUGCUAUGUAUUCAGAGUGUUCAACUUAAAUACAGCAGCUCUUUUAUUUUUUCAAGUAUGAUUUCAGAGUUUUUAUAUUUACAUUGUUAUAUCAAUAAACAGUUAAUCAGAUGGUUGAGCAGAUACUGA